rnacentral:rRNA from 1 species
AGGGUUCGAUUCUGGCUCAGGACGAACGCUGGCAGCGUGCUUAACACAUGCAAGUCGAGCGGAGUUAUGAUGAAAGCUUGCUGGAUUCAUGACUUAGCGGCGGACGGGUGAGUAACGCGUGAGCAAUCUGUCCCAUACAGGGGGAUAAUACCGCGAAAGUGGUUCUAAUACCGCAUGAGACCACGGUGAGGCAUCUCGCAGGGGUCAAAGGAGCAAUCCGGUAUGGGGUGAGCUCGCGUCCGAUUAGAUAGUAGGUGAGGUAACGGCCCACCUAGUCGACGAUCGGUAGCCGACCUAAGAGGGUGAUCGGCCACAUUGGGACUGAGACACGGCCCAGACUCCUACGGGAGGCAGCAGUGGGGAAUAUUGGGCAAUGGGGAAACCCUGACCCAGCAACGCCGCGUGGAGGAAGAAGGUCUUCGGAUCGUAAACUCCUGUCCUACAGGAAGAGGAGAAGACUGUACUGUAGGAGGAAGCCCCGGCUAACUACGUGCCAGCAGCCGC